ACAAUGCUAUUCUUGGAGUAGAAUCAAGCGCGGAACCACCUAGUUUCAAAGUAGUACCACACUUGAGGUUACUUAACUGUUAUAUGAAGGCUGCCUUGCAAAAUGGUCAUGGAACUUUACCAGCUGAGAAAAAAAAGUUUACUCUCUCAUCCUCUAUUAUGAGAGGGACACUGAAAAGAACAGAGAUCUUAUUUGCCUGUCAAUUACAGUUGCUUGCCACAGGAGAACAGAAAUUUGCAAGAGCGAUUGACUUACUUUACUGUAGAUACUAUUACAUUAUAGAGAGUCAAAUGAAGUUCUCUACUUCAUCAAAAAAAGGGACUGGUUAUUUGCAACUGGUUUUCUUAAAACUAUAUUAAUAUUCCCCAGAAUAUGGGGGUUUGAUCCUGCACCCAAUGAAAUAACUGGAGUCAAUAGGGAAAAAAAAGUCACAAUGUAUGCAGAUUAGGCUCUUAACAGUUUACUUAAAAGGUUUCAGAAGAGACAAUUUCAGAGUCAAUAUUUUUAGGAACUUUUUACAUUCCAAUGCAAAGGAUACUCAUACAGACAAAUAGCUUUUUCUACAUGUUUUCAAUUGACAUCUUGCAACGAGGUUCUUCAAGAACUCUGGUAAAACAAAUCUAAACAGUAUUUUUCUAUCUAAUCCAAAAAUGCACUUUGGACUGAAGACAACAGCAAAAUGCAGACAGACAAAAAACUUUCAUGAACUUGAGACAAAUAACUAGAAAAACAAUGUCAUUACUUAAAGGGCGCAACAAACCCAAGAAGCCUGCCAUACUGAAUUUCAGGUACUGUUUCACAUUUGAUCCUGAGAAGGAGCAAAUCCCAAAAGCAGCUAACCCUUAAAGAGCCUGUAGAGUUUACAAUUGACACAUUAAACAUCAGUAAGGUUAAAAAAAACAAAAACAAAACCAAACCUAUCUUCAAUUGAAAAACAAAACAAAACCCCAUCUGUAGGUGUUAAAGCCCACAAGAAAUAGCUCUUUCACUUCAGAUUAAUUUAAAACAGAGGCUGGGAUUCAGCGAAUGUUCAUAUAUUCACAGCACAGGAGGGAGGAGAUAAUCACACGAUGGACAAAGAGUUAUAGAAGACAUAAUACAAAAGACUAUUUCUAUAUGGCCUUCAAAUAAACAACAUGCAUUCCUUGAUAAAAAGUGAAAUAAAAAAUACAACUGUGUGUGCAAUACAAGAGGAAAGAAUAUUGUAGUACACUUUAAAAACAGUAAGAACAGGCUUAAAAACCUCCCCCCCAACUUUAGAACAAUGGUGACCAAUACCAGGGUCCAAAUAUAAUUUUCCAAUAUUGUUGAGAGCUAUAACCAAAGAAAAAAAAAACAAUAAUUGCUCUAUGGACCAUAUUGCUCACUGGCUUUCCAGCUUCAUCCAACCCAUAAAAGCCUCUAGACCCAGAUGACUUAAGCUUAGCAGGAUUCAUUUUAAAUCAGCAGUCAUUAGUGUAAACUGAUGCCACCUGACACACAGAAAUGGAUAAACAACAUAUCCAUCCAUUGCAGUUAGCAAAUAAAGUCUCCCCCACACCUUAUGUGCACAGGGUCCAGUAUCCCAGCCUUGCAGGAAGCUCUCUGUUACAGUCCCACUCACUCAUUCAUGGGAGUGUGGGGGCCCUUCCUGGGGAGAAGCUGUUCAGCAGCAGGUUGGCCUCCUUGCAGCCAGGAGCCAGCUCUCCUUCUCGUGGUCUUGGGGAUCUCUGCGCAAUCCCCACCAAGACCACAGCCUUCCCUGCAACUUCUGCCUGUAGUGUCAUUGGCCCUGCAGCUGUGCAGGGAGCCUCCUGCAAUCUUUCUGUUAAGCUGUGAAAAUGUACUAAAAAACUUGAGGUCCAAUUACAUCAGGGUUAAACAACUAAGCAGUACAGUUUAGUUGAACUUCUGUAUGAUCUGGGGUGCACCAAAUGCAAGGGCAUAUUAGAUCCAGGUUUGACAUGGUCUGAACUCUGUUGCACCAAGUAAUGCAAUUAGAAACCAUUGUGCCUCUGCGCACAUAAAAUGAGGCCUCAAACUCAUCUUGCAGAUGGGGGAUACAGCUGAUAAGGGUAUGGGGAGGCACAAAACCCAUAACAACUGCAGGCCACCUCCAGUUGCUCUAUUGCUUUAAAGAUAGAAAAUGUAAAUUAGAUGAUCUCAGUAACUAUGAGAAUAAAUUUUGUUUCAAACCAUGCAAAUACUAACAGUAAUAGCUCUUCUAAAAGGAUGCAACUGGCCAUAAAGGACGCAUGUGCAUUCAACAGCUGGGGAACUAUAUGGGCAAUUCUUGAAGGAGAUGCACUGCUGCAAUACCAUAGUAAACAAGGAAGAAAAAUUCCUCAUUUUUUCAAAAAGAUUGUAUCUGUAUUAGACAGCAUGGUAAUUUAAUUCAAUAAUUCACACACUUAUUUUAAAUUAGGCUAUCAUAAAAAUCAUACAGAAUUCUGCAUGAAGAAAAACAUAGUAAUUAUAUUUACAGAGUCAUACAUUCAUAUCUAACACAUUCACAUUUGCCAGAAAACCUUAUGGUGUCCAUACCUGAUGUACUUUUAAAUCUUCAUCUUCAAAAUCAGAGAUCCAUUGCUUUCGUGAUUCUUAAUUAGAAAGUUUGAAAAAAGAAAUCUAUGUUAGAAUGCGACAUAUUGCAAACAAGUGUUAGAUUUGCAUCCAAAAACUGAUUUAACUAAUUCCUCAUUUAGACAUAAAUAUUUAUGAUUAAAGUAUUUUCUAAAUAAGUAAACUCCGGAAAGGUUUAACAAAUUCAGAACACAGACAAAGAAAUGAAAGAAAGGAAGAAAGAGAGACAGUCAGAUUUUCACCCAACAUAAAUUGGCAUAGUAUCACAGAAGUCAAUGAAACUAUGUUCAUUAGAUCAGCUACAGAUCUCACCCAAUGCUUUUAGACAGAUACUCAAAAGACUCCCUAGAAGACAACCACAAACUAUUUGUAAAACACCACUAAUCUCUAGGGACCCAAUCUUACAAUACUUAAGCAACUGUAACUUUCUUUAUGUGGGUACUUCUAUUAACCUCAUUGGGACUACACAGUAAGUCAAGUUAUACACACACACACACACACACACACACACACACUUAAGUGUUUGCAGGAUCAGAGCCUAUUUCUCUACAGUACAGGUAAUAUUCACCUUUAAAAUAUACAAGUUGCCCAAAACCAAUUAUUAACAUUCUUAAAUGUUAGGGGGAGAGAUUUUCAAGGGAACAAGUAUAGUUGGGUGCCAAACUUCCUUUUGUACCUCUAGAAGUCAUCCCUCUAAUUCUGGACUUUUGCAUAUUCCCUUCUAACUAUGAAGCUUUUCCAUAAGCAUUGGUUCCUGGACAUUUUUACUCAACUUUUUAAAGUUGCACACAUGAAAAAAAUCACGCUGUAGAUACUGGAAAUUACAUUCAAAGCACAAGACUUUCUCUUUUAAACAAAAAGAUUUACAAGGUUUACACUACAGUCAUUAAUGUACUCUUUUAGGUAGAUAAAUAUUUAUACUACUUAUAACUAAUAAUUACUGAUUACGAGUUGCAAAUACUAUUAAAACCAUUUAUAAUGUUCUAAUGAGAUGCAGCACGCCUUCUUCUGUGUUCUUUGCGUGGAUUAUUUACAUAGUGCCUAAAAAUGUGCUAGAAAACAAGGAAGGAGAUGAUUUAGAGCUAAUUUUUUUUACUAAUAUAUAAGGAAAAAUAGAGUAUCAUAAAUAUACAUUUGUCUAGUUUCAAGUACCCUUUUUAUUUUGCCUGCUCCAGAUACUUGCCUCAAACACAGCACUGCAUUAAAUGAACACUAUUUACACAAAAUAAUUCUGCUGGUGUUCCCAGAUCCGAGCCUUCCUGCACUACUUCACCAAUACCAUCUUGCAACUGUCAGAUGUGCCAUGACUGAACCAGGGAGCGACACCUCCACGUGCCCACAUCAGUUUGAGCUGCUAUACGAGGGGUGGGCAAACUUUUUGGCCCGAGAGCCACAUCGGGGUGUGAAACCGUAUGGAGGACCAGAUACAAGUAUUCGCACUGAAGUCAAUGGGACAAAUUUCAUGCCUAGCAGUUUGCAGGAUGAAGCCUUCGAGAAAUGCAUAUGGAAUUAUAAGGGGAGGAGGACCAAACAAGACUAUGAUGGGAUUACUCGCAUGCAUAAAGUUAAGCACGUGAGUUUAUGCUGUUUGCAGGAUCAGGGCCUUAGCUUGUAAGCUCUUAGGAUCACAGGGAUCCAUCUUGCUCACUUUGUGAACACGACGUACAUCUACAAUGCAUUGAAAAUAUCUUUUAGCAAUAUAUUUUAUUUUUAAAAUGCGGAUUCAGGGUUACAUUACUCCCAGGUUAACUGUGCUACUGAGAAGCAACAAGGGUAGUCAUAUCAACCAAAUUUCUGCUUUUGUCCCUAGAGAGCAAAAUCUAUUAAACAUCACAGAGGGAUUUUUUGUUUGUUUGAAACUGGAACAAACAUUCCCUUUAUUUAAGUAAGGAAAAAUUUGGACUGUAUGUUAAACACCACAGAAAUAUCAUUCUGCCAGGAGUUUAACACAUUUCUUCCUUGGUCCUCCUACCCCCACUGUACACUUUGUAUUCUGUGUUGAAAUUGAAAUUAAUAUAUUUGAAAAUGUAAAAACAUCCAAAAAUAUUUAAGUAAAUUGCAUUCUAUUAUUGUUUAACAGUGCGAUUAAUUACGAUUAUUUUUUUCCAACUACUGAUGCUUGUCUUUGCAACCUGAAUGUUCUUUGAACAUAGGGGUGGUUUUGGUUUGGUUUUUCUUUGUUAAUAUAUUGUUAGACUGGGUUAAAGGUGGACUCUUGGAUAGGGAAUGAAUAUAGAUAGCACAACAAAAGGAUGUUAGGGCCAACUAUCCUUUAGGGGGUUCAGCUGAUGUAAUUACAUUCAAAUGAUGGGGGAAGAGAGUUAAAAAAGUGUAUUGUUUAUAUGGGUCAGGUGUGAGCACAAGAGCAGUACUCAUAAAUCAAAUGGCGUAAUAGAAAUUCUCCCCGAAAAAAGGUUUCUAGUAUAUGUUAACUGUAGGCUUUCUCCAAAGGCCACUGAAGUCAUAUGAUCACACCUCUUAACUUUCUAAUUUUAUAAUAGUAUGUGUAUAUGCUGACAGGGGUGGGGGGAGAAUGGUAAUUAAAACAUAUUCUUAGGUAGUGGAAUGAAAUUGAGACAGUGGAACAGCUUGCAAUGGAGACUUCAAAAGACAGCGUUUGAUGUCUCUGCACUGGGAAGUCUUUGCAUUAAGCUCCGGAUUUGACCCUAGCCCUGCUAUGUGCUAAUGGCAUUGAAAUUAAUGCCAAAGAAAUGUAUUUGUUCGGUUGGGGGGGGGGGGGGGGGUGUUGUUUUUUAGUUCUAAAGGCUUGAUUUGAAUCUCAUCAUCUUUAUUGUAUGCAAGGCCAUGUAGAAGAAAAAACACUUCACACCUUCUGUUCCCCCCCCGCCCCUUUUUUGAACUUAGUUAUGCUAGUCUUAAGUCCUCCUAAGCAAGAAAUACUUUACACUUGUUACCAAAAAUGGAUGGACAGCAUGGAUGUUUCUCUGCUUUUGUUCUGAGGCAAAAAAAUAAAUUUUCCAGUUUUUCUUUUUGUUUAUGUAUUUGUAUUAGGCCUGUCAAGUGAUUAAAAAAAUUAAUUGUGAUUAAUUGUACGAUUAAAAAAAAAAGCAAUUGUAUGACUAAUUGCACUGUUAAAUAAUAACAGAAUACCACUUAUUUAAAGAUUUUUGGAUGUUUUCUACAUUUUCAAAUAUAUUAAUUUCAAUUUCAACAUAGAAUACAACACAUUUCCCCUCCCCCUCACCAAGUUUGACCCCUUCUGCCUUAUCCCCUCCAAACUGGCUAUUCCAGCCCUGUCUCUUCCCCACCUGUGGCUCCUUGUUCCAGGCCCUUUCUCCUUGCCUAUCCAGUCCAAGUCUCCACCCCUCAGGGUUCACAUCCUAGUCCCACUCUUCUUGCCCAAUCACCGUCUUAGUCACCCUCGUCAGGCUCCUCAUACAAUGUAAAUCUCUCUUCCCACCACACCCCAUGCUCUUCCCCCACUGUUUCUUAGUGACUGUCUCCUAGACCAACCUGUCCCAGUGUCCCCACUCCCCUUCAGCUUCUCAUCUAAUCUCAGUGACCCCAUCCGCACCACCAACCAGUUCCCAGAAGCCCAUCCCCCACCACCUCCCAGUCUUAAUCUCCAUGCCAAAUCAGUCCCAGUCUCCAUUACCCCCGCUAUCCUCAAUCCCAGCUUCUCCCCCUCACUCCCUCCAGUCCCAGUUUUACCAAACAAUUUGUCCCAAUUUACUCCUUACCUUCCCCCCUGUACAGCUUUUGUUCUCUCUGCAUUCAAAUCAGACUGCUUCCUCCUCCAUGCUGUCUGGGUGCUAACUGGGGGGACGGGUCCCUAUGAGCACAGGAGAGACAAGCUUCCUGCUCUGAUUUUCAGUGUCCAGCAGCACCUAGGCCCAGAGCAGCCAUUAGAGGGAGUACCCUGCUUAGCCUGCAUAGCCCUGGGCUGGAACAUGCUCAGUCACUCUGUAAGGAUGACUAGGGCCCAACCAAAGUCAU